AUUGAACGCUAGCGGGGUGCUUUACACAUGCAAGUCGAACGAGUGGCGGACGGGUGAGUAAUAUAUUGGAACGUGCCCAGUAGCGGGGGAUCACUACUCGAAAGAGUGGCCAAUUCCGCAUACUCUUCGAGUGGCCGAUAGCGGAUUAGCUAGAUGGUGGGGUAAAGGCUCACAAAGGCAACGAUCCGUAGCUGGUUUGAGAGGACGACCAGCCACACUGGGACUGAGACACGGCCCAGACUCCUACGGGAGGCAGCAGUGGGGAAUUUUGGACAAUGGGGGAAACCCUGAUCCAGCCAUCCCGCGUGUAUGAGAAGGCCUUCGGGUUGUAAAGUACUUUUGGCAGAGAAGCGGUAUCUGCAGAAUAAGCACCGGCUAACUACGUGCCAGCCGCCGCGGUAAUUC
rnacentral:rRNA from 1 species